UACGGAGGGUGCAAGCAUUAAUCGGAAUUAUUGGGCGUAAAGGGCGCGUAGGCGGUGAGGUUAGUCAGGUGUGAAAUCCCGGAGCUCAACUCCGGAACAGCACUUGAAACUGCCCCACUAGAGGAUAGGCGGAGAAAACGGAAUUCCACAAGUAGCGGUGAAAUGCGUAGAUAUGUGGAAGAACACCUGUGGCGAAAGCGGUUUUCUAGCUUAUUCCUGACGCUGAGGCGCGAAAGCAAGGGGAGCAAACAGG
rnacentral:rRNA from 1 species